rnacentral:rRNA from 1 species
GACGAACGCUGGCGGCGUGCUUAACACAUGCAAGUCGAACGGAAAGGCCCUGCUCUUGUGGGGUGCUCGAGGGGCGAACGGGUGAGUAACACGUGAGUAACCUGCCCUGGACUUUGGGAUAACUUCAGGAAACUGGGGCUAAUACCGGAUAGGAGCUCCUGCUGCAUGGUGGGGGUUGGAAAGUUUCGGCGGUUGGGGAUGGACUCGCGGCUUAUCAGCUUGUUGGUGGGGUAGUGGCUUACCAAGGCUUUGACGGGUAGCCGGCCUGAGAGGGUGACCGGCGACCAGGCGACUGAGAGACGGACCAGUCUGCUACGGGGGGCAGCGGUGGGGAAUAUUGCACAGUGGGGGGAAGCCUGAUGCGGCAGCGCUGCGUGCGGGAUGACGGUCUUCGGGUUGUGAACCGCUUUCGCCUGUGACGCAGCGUGAGUGACGGUAAUGGAUAAAGAAGCACCGGCUAACUACGUG